rnacentral:lncRNA from 1 species
UUACCCCUUGGAAAGAAAUUCAGAUAAUAAGUUUUGUUUUUGUCUUUUUUAUAGAUCAAAGUCAACCUUAUGUGUUGUCCAAGUGGUAAAUAGAAGUGUUCAACUACCAAGAAAAAAACAAGUGUGUUAGUUGAUAGAAAUAAUUAGUUAAUCUAUUAUUUAGUUUCCAUUUCUUAACUCACUAUCCUCUAAAUUUAGUAUAUGUAGUGUACCUACUGGCUACAAUUUUUAUUAAAAAACAAUGCUGCAAACUUGUCCUUUUCAUGUCAUUUCAUUCAGUUGAUUUGCUUUUGAGUUUCUGUCCCAUUGAUGUAAUAAACCCAUUUCCAACAUUCCUAAAUUUUUACACAUAUAAACCAAUUGAUUUCACUGAUUUGUUUGGGAUGCAAAACCGUGCUAAGAAUCAUAUAUUAGCUAACAAUACUUUAAAUACUACAAUAUUAAUUUGGACCAUCAGGGCAAGUAACUUUUUUUCCGGACAAGUAAAAUUUACAGUUUUACUUGCCCAGGGACAAGUGCUCACAACAAAUAUUUCCACACCCC